UGUCCUACGGGGGGCAGCAGUAGGGAAUAUUGCUCAAUGGGGGAAACCCUGAAGCAGCAACGCCGCGUGAGGGAAGACGGUUUUCGGAUUGUAAACCUCUGUCCUCUGUGAAGAUGAUGACGGUAGCAGAGGAGGAAGCUCCGGCUAACUACGUGCCAGCAGCCGCGGUAAUACGUAGGGAGCGAGCGUUGUCCGGAUUUACUGGGUGUAAAGGGUGCGUAGGCGGCUUGGCAAGUCAGUAGUGGAAUCCAUGGGCUUAACCCUUGAACUGCUAUUGAAACUGUCGAGCUUGAGUGAAUUAGAGG
rnacentral:rRNA from 1 species